GAGGCCCAGACGCGCCGGGGGUGGGAGAGGGGGUGGGGGAGGGCUGCGGGGCGCACGGGCUGGUGGGCCGCCGGCCCAUGCUUUCUACGUCCUUGAAGGCCUGGCUCGGGCGUGGUUAGGGUUUACCCGCCGCCGCCACCUGCCCGACGCCGCCCACCGCUGCCGCCGCCGAUCUGCCGUCGCCACGCCGGUUCGACGCCGCCGCCUCAGUCCGCCACAGCCGUCUCCUGGACCUCAUCUCCCCCGCGCUUAGGCCUCCCCCUCACCUGGGGGUGGUGGGCGGCGGGCGGCGGGCCUCGCCGUCGGCGCUCAUCUCGGCCGGGACAUGCCCGGUCUUGAUGAUGCGGCGGAGGCCGGGGCGUGCGUUAGCCGCCACGACUGUGGUCGGGCGGCCAGGGAACCAAGGCCCCGGCGGUGGAGAUGGGGGUACGAGCUGGGGCUCGGGCUCGGCGAAGCCGGGCGGCGCCGCCGCGGCCAUGCUGAUGGAGCUACCCGCGGCUAUGUAGAAGGGCGGAGCGCCGCGGCGUGUGGCGAUGGUGCCUCUGAGGAGGAACUCCGGCGGCUCAGCUGGAGUUGGAGUGUACAGCGGUGUCGUCGGCGUGUAGUCCGGCGAAGGUGAUGGCCAGAUGGCGCGGCACGGCGAGGCCAUGGUGAAACCAUGCUCUGUUGAUGAAGGACCGGUGUCGCGGCGAGCGUAGUUUGUCUAGCCAUGGCAAGGACAGUACGACGUCACCAUGUCCGCCGGCAUCCCAUCGGGCUGCAGCCGCACCCUUGCAGUCCAUCCAUGGGACUCGCAGUGGCGCGGCGACUCCACCAGAAUGCGUUUUGGUGCGGUGCAGGUGUCAGGUGUCGGCAUCAGUGGAGGUCCGCGGCGGGUGGCGAGGCUGCUCGUUUCGCUGCUAGCAGCUCUAGUGGCUCUGCGGGCAGCGGCGCCGUCGUCGUGGCGUCGUCCUCCACAGCUGGCGAAACCAGAGGGAGGAGACCGGGGGCCACGGCCGGCAAAGCCAGCACCACGGCCCCUGCCGCGUCAAGGACGGCGCACUGGAGGCCGGAGAAGCUCGGUGAGUUGCUAGUGCUUGAGGCGACGGAGAUGGCGAGCACGAAGAUUGCGUCGAAGAGAAGAACAGGCAUCAAGCAAAAUGGGCACAUGUUGAAUGCAUGCAGAUGUAUGUGUUGCAGUUGAAUGCAGCCAUGAAUUGGACUGAUGUUUAUGACACAAGUCUGAAGAUCAAAGCAAGGGAUGAAUAUGAUGCGGAUUGAUGUUCCGUAACUAAGUUCGUCCCAAAUUUCUGCUGCUUAAAAGUUUGUCAUCCUACCUUUCGGCUUUCAAAGCACUUGACGUGUGAAGUUGGCCGGCCGGCCGGGGCUCAUCAACGGACGUCGUCGGAGAUCGGGACGCCAGCAGAGGAGGAGGACGACAGCUCCGUCGGCGCAGACGGGCUACACAGCUCGCCACCAGUCCUCCUUCGUGUUCGUGGAUCAAAUUUUUUUAAUUGAGCCUUUACAAUUUUUUUAACUCAGCUCUCUGCACAUUUCAAUCAAUGGUCACUCCAGUGACUAGUGCGGCCCCGUUCCUGCUCAGUGGUGAAUGCUCCGUGCCACCGCAGCGCUGGAGGGAGGGCUCGCGCCGUGCGCGCCAGCCGGUGGCAGGGACGGGCGCGGACACCGGAUCCCGAGGCGUCGUCGCCGGUGAAAGGAAGAGGACCGCUAGAGUUGCCAGCACCGCUUUCAGGACGUCGAGGCGCCGGCGCUGCCGCGGGAGCAUCUUCGGACGAAAUAGUGCCCCGGGCGGCGCUGCCGCGGAGGCAGGUACGGGACACGGCCAGGGGAGGCCGGCGCCGGCGGCGCGCUGCGACCUCGCCGGUUGCAUGUCCCCAGACCGGGACAUUUGCAACUAUUUUUAAAAUACCCUCUUAUUUGAAUAAAUAGUUUCAUAUUACACCAUAUAAUUUACAUACAACCCACCAAUUUGGAUCGCGAUUAGUAACCCCUAAUUAUUUUCAAAUAGACCCCUGGCCGUGGUGUGCUCCUCCGCCCGUCCGCCGUCGUCCUCCAUGCCGGAAUUGGCAAACCCCGCCUCGGCCACCAACCCCUAGCUCAAUCCCUAGCACCGUCCCCAUUAACCUCACCC